UACGUAGGGUGCAAGCGUUGUCCGGAAUUAUUGGGCGUAAAGAGCUCGUAGGCGGUUUGUCGCGUCUGCUGUGAAAACCCGGGGCUCAACCCCGGGCCUGCAGUCGGUACGGGCAGACUAGAGUGCGGUAGGGGAGACUGGAAUUCCUGGUGUAGCGGUGAAAUGCGCAGAUAUCAGGAGGAACACCGGUGGCGAAGGCGGGUCUCUGGGCCGUAACUGACGCUGAGGAGCGAAAGCGUGGGGAGCGAACAGG
rnacentral:rRNA from 1 species